GAUGAAGAACGCAGCGAAAUGCGAUACUUGGUGUGAAUUGCAGAAUCCCGUGAACCAUCGAGUCUUUGAACGCAAGUUGCGCCCGAAGCCACUAGGCCGAGGGCACGCCUGCCUGGGCGUCACACGCCGUUGCCCCCCCAUCUACUCCUUCGGGAUUGCGGGGGGGCGGAUGAUGGCCUCCCGUGCGCCUAGCCGCGCGGUUGGCAUAAAUACCAAGUCCUCGGCGACGCACGCCACGACAAUCGGUGGUUGCGAAACCUCGGUUGCCCGUCGUGUGCGUUCGUCGCGCAUCGAGGGCUCGAAAAAAUGCUCGGCUCCGGCUGGGCUUUCAACGCGACCCCAGGUCAGGCGGGGUUACCCGCUGAAUUUAAGCAUAUCAAUAAGCGGAGG
rnacentral:misc_RNA from 1 species